AGUGAACGCUGGCGGUAGGCCUAACACAUGCAAGUCGAACGGCAGCACAGUAAGAGCUCGCUCUUACGGGUGGCGAGUGGCGGACGGGUGAGGAAUACAUCGGAAUCUACUUUUUCGUGGGGGAUAACGUAGGGAAACUUACGCUAAUACCGCAUACGUCCUACGGGUGAAAGCAGGGGUUCUUCGGACCUUGCGCGAUUGAAUGAGCCGAUGUCGGAUUAGCUAGUUGGCGGGGUAAAGGCCCACCAAGGCGACGAUCCGUAGCUGGUCUGAGAGGAUGAUCAGCCACACUGGAACUGAGACACGGUCCAGACUCCUACGGGAGGCAGCAGUGGGGAAUAUUGGACAAUGGGCGCAAGCCUGAUCCAGCCAUACCGCGUGGGUGAAGAAGGCCUUCGGGUUGUAAAGCCCUUUUGUUGGGAAAGAAAAGCAGCGGGUUAAUACCCCGCUGUUCUGACGGUACCCAAAGAAUAAGCACCGGCUAACUUCGUG
rnacentral:rRNA from 1 species